rnacentral:rRNA from 1 species
GACGAACGCUGGCGGCAUGCCUAAUACAUGCAAGUCGAGCGAACAGAUGAAGUGCUUGCACUUCUGACGUUAGCGGCGAACGGGUGAGUAACACGUAAGGAAUCUACCUAUAAGCGGGGGAUAACAUUCGGAAACGGGAGCUAAUACCGCAUAAUAUCUUCUUCCGCAUGGAAGAAGAUUGAAAGAAGGCUCUGCUGUCACUUAUAGAUGACCUUGCGGUGCAUUAGUUAGUUGGUGGGGUAAUGGCCUGCCAAGACGAGGAUGCAUAGCCGACCUGAGAGGGUGAUCGGCCACAUUGGGACUGAGACACGGCCCAAACUCCUACGGGAGGCAGCAGUAGGGAAUCUUCCGCAAUGGGCGAAAGCCUGACGGAGCAAUGCCGCGUGAGUGAAGAAGGCCUUCGGGUCGUAAAACUCUGUUAUAAGAGAAGAACAAAUUGUAGAGUAACUGCUACAGUCUUGACGGUAUCUUAUCAGAAAGCCACGGCUAACUACGUGCCAGCCGCCGCGGUAA